rnacentral:rRNA from 1 species
CCUACGGGUGGCUGCAGUGAGGAAUAUUGGUCAAUGGACGAGAGUCUGAACCAGCCAAGUAGCGUGAAGGAUGACUGCCCUAUGGGUUGUAAACUUCUUUUAUAUGGGAAUAAAACGUUCCACGUGUGGGAUUUUGUAUGUACCAUAUGAAUAAGGAUCGGCUAACUCCGUGCCAGCAGCCGCGGUAAUACGGAGGAUCCGAGCGUUAUCCGGAUUUAUUGGGUUUAAAGGGAGCGCAGGUGGAUUGUUAAGUCAGUUGUGAAAGUUUGUGGCUCAACCGUAAAAUUGCAGUUGAAACUGGCAGUCUUGAGUACAGUAGAGGUGGGCGGAAUUCGUGGUGUAGCGGUGAAAUGCUUAGAUAUCACGAAGAACUCCGAUUGCGAAGGCAGUUCACUGGACUGCAACUGACACUGAGGCUCGAAAGUGUGGGUAUCAAACAGGAUUAGAUACCCCUGUAGUC